rnacentral:rRNA from 1 species
UAUCUCUGUAGAGUCUGCAUAUCAAUAAGCGGAGGAAAAGAAACUAACUAGGAUUCCCUCAGUAACGGCGAGUGAAGCGGGAAGAGCUCAAAUUUGAAAUCUUCAAGGCUCUACCUUGACGAAUUGUAGUUUAAAGAAGUGUUUUCUGUUGGUGUUUUGGUAAAAGUUCUUUGGAAUAGGACAUCAUAGAGGGUGAGAAUCCCGUAUUUGACCAUUACUUUCCAGCUUUGUGAUACACUUUCAAAGAGUUGGAUUGUUUGGGAAUGCAGUCCAAAAUGGGUGGUAAAUUUCAUCUAAAGCUAAAUAUUGGCGAGAGACCGAUAGCGAACAAGUACCGUGAGGGAAAGAUGAAAAGAACUUUGAAAAGAGAGUUAAACAGUACGUGAAAUUGUCAAAAGGGAAGCGUUUGACACCAGUGUUGUUUUCUCGAAAAUCAAUUAAAAAAAGUUGGAUUUUGUAUUGUUAAGAUCUUAUCAGCUUACUGUACUCUUUUCUUGCUUUUUUUAAUGCACUUUUCGCUUAACAAGUCAACAUCAAUUUCUUUUGUUGUAAAAGGGUCAUUGGAAGGUGGCUUUCUUUUCGGAGAAAGUGUUUAUAGCCUUUGGCCUCUGCAAUCGGAGAGAUUGAGGUCUGCAGCGUAGAUCCUUCGGGGUUAGAUACAUUUGUGCUAAGUUAUAGCCUUUCAUAGACAACUUGUUGACUAUGAUCAGUCAUGUAGCUUACUCGCUUAUGCUAUUUUACCUACGCUUAGGAUGUUGACGAUCAGCUGAGCGCG